AUUGAACGCUAGCGGGAUGCCUUACACAUGCAAGUCGAACGGCAGCGCGGACUUCGGUCUGGCGGCGAGUGGCGAACGGGUGAGUAAUGUAUCGGAACGUGCCCAGUAGCGGGGGAUAACUACUCGAAAGAGUAGCUAAUACCGCAUACGCCCUACGGGGGAAAGGGGGGGAUCGCAAGACCUCUCACUAUUGGAGCGGCCGAUAUCGGAUUAGCUAGUUGGUGAGGGAAAGGCUCACCAAGGCGACGAUGCGUAGCUGGUUUGAGAGGACGACUAGCCACACUGGGACUGAGACACGGCCCAGACUCCUACGGGAGGCAGCAGUGGGGAAUUUUGGACAAUGGGGGAAACCCUGAUCCAGCCAUUCCGCGUGUGCGAUGAAGGCCUUCGGGUUGUAAAGCACUUUUGGCAGGAAAGAAAUCGCAUCAAUUAAUACUUGGUGUGGAUGACGGUACCUGCAGAAUAAGCACCGGCUAACUACGUGCCAGCCGCCGCCGUAA
rnacentral:rRNA from 1 species